rnacentral:rRNA from 1 species
GGAGGGUGCAAGCGUUAAUCGGAAUUACUGGGCGUAAAGCGCACGCAGGCGGUUUGUUAAGUCAGAUGUGAAAUCCCCGGGCUCAACCUGGGAACUGCAUCUGAUACUGGCAAGCUUGAGUCUCGUAGAGGGGGGUAGAAUUCCAGGUGUAGCGGUGAAAUGCGUAGAGAUCUGGAGGAAUACCGGUGGCGAAGGCGGCCCCCUGGACGAAGACUGACGCUCAGGUGCGAAAGCGUGGGGAGCAAACAGGAUUAGAUACCCUGGUAGUCCACGCCGUAAACGAUGUCGACUUGGAGGUUGUGCCCUUGAGGCGUGGCUUCCGGAGCUAACGCGUUAAGUCGACCGCCUGGGGAGUACGGCCGCAAGGUUAAA